rnacentral:rRNA from 1 species
GCAGUAUACAGUGAAACUGCGAAUGGCUCAGUAAAUCUGCAAACAUCUAUUUGAUAGUACCUUCUACAUGGAUAUCCGUGGUAAUUCUAGAGCUAAUACAUGCUAAAAAUCCCGACUCACGAAGGGAUGUAUUUAUUAGAUAAAAAACCAAUGCCCUCCGGGGCUCCUUGGUGAUUCAUAAUAACUUAACGAAUCGCAUGGCCUUGCGCCGGCGAUGGUUCAUUCGAUCUUCAGCCCUAUCAACUUUCGAUGGUAGGAUAGAGGCCUACCAUGGUUUCGACGGGUAACGGGGAAUUAGGGUUCUAUUCCGGAGAGGGGGCCCGAGCAACAGCCACCAUAUCCAAGGAAAGCAGCAGGCGCGCAAAUUACCCAAUCCUGACUCAGGGAGGUAGUGACAAUACAUACUGAUGUGGAGUUCUUUUGGAUUUCACAAUUGGAAUGAGAACAAUUUAAAUCCCUUAUCGAGGAACAAUUGGAGGGCAAGUCUGGUGCCAGCAGCCGCGGUAAUUCCAGCUCCAAUAGCGUAUAUUAAAGUUGUUGCAGUUAAAAAGCUCGUAGUUGAACCUUGGCCCUGGCCGUCCGGUCCGCCUCACCGCGAGCACUGGUUCGGUCGGGGCUUUCCUUCUGGGGAGCCGCAUGUCCUUUACUGGGCGUGUCGGGGAACCAGGACUUUUACUUUGAAAAAAUUAGAGUGUUCAAAGCAGGCAUAUGCUCGAAUAUCUUAGCAUGGAAUAAUAGAAUAGGACGUGCGGUUCUAUUUUGUUGGUUUCUAGGACCGCCGUAAUGAUUAAUAGGGAUAGUCGGGGGCAUCAGUAUUCAAUUGUCAGAGGUGAAAUUCUUGGAUUUAUUGAAGACUAACUACUGCGAAAGCAUUUGCCAAGGAUGUUUUCAUUAAUCAGUGAACGAAAGUUAGGGGAUCGAAGACGAUUGUUCUGGUCGUCCACAGUUCAGCUAGUCCGCUCCUCGGAGCGGGCGACACCAUCCCACUGGGGGGCAGCCGUGCGGCUAACCCACAGCUUGGAUCCCUGCGGGGGUUCGGUCUACAGACUGAAUGAUGGUGGGUCUCGACGGCCCUGGGUGGCCGCCAGACUUCUAAUACAGCCGAGUCCGCCGCCGGAACGCGGUGGGUUAGCGCAGAUACCGUCGUAGUCUUAACCAUAAACUAUGCCGACUAGGGAUCGGACGGUGGUUCUAUUUUGCCCCGUUCGGCACCUUACGAGAAAUCAAAG